ensembl:lncRNA
CCCCCCCCCCUCGCUCUACCAACAGGGACCACCCCCUCGCUACACCAACAUGGACCACCCUGAACAUCAGCCCAUCCUCACACCACCAAACAGGGUCUCUGUGGGAGGGAGGGGAGGUGAGGAGGGGAGGUGAGGAGGGGAGGUGUUACGGGAGAGGGGGGACAUAGUGAGGCGAGGGGAGGGGAGGCACAGUGACGGCAUGGAAGGGGAGAAGGAGAGGAGCGGAGGAGUAGGUAGAGGAGAGCCGAGGUUACUGCGGAGAGAGGAAGGGAGGCAUAGUGAGGGGAAGGAAGGGGAGGGGAGGCGAGGUAGAGAGGGGACAGAAAGCGUGGGUGUCUGGAGGCUGUCUCCUGGGCUUGGGGUUGCUGUCUGUGGGGUGGGGAACUGGGGACGGGAGGCUGAGGAGAAGAAGGAGGGAAUAAUUGGUGUCUUUUUUUAGUUUUCUGGAAGAAGGGUGAUGGUACUGGCUGCCACUCCGGGGGAGAUGGAUCAGCCUACGUCAGGGCGAGGUGGAGGAACGCUACGACUUAGAGCUGUGCGUGUCAGUGGAGGGGCAGAACACGCUGGAAGGGCUGUGUGUUGCUACUCCUAAUGUCCCCUCGCGUUCGACAUACAGGUACUACGGAUAACUUCAGUCGUGGAUUCGCUCACAACCUAAUCAGUGGCCUAGUAAGUUGCGGACAAGAACCUGAACUCUGUUGUAGUCCCGUCUGUUCCUCUCAUUUCUACCUGCGGACCCUUGCAGCUCAUCUUUGUCUCAGUAUUAUGUGUGCGAAGAGUCCUCAUAAGUAUUAUGUGUAAGAAGAGUCCUCAUAAAAAUUAUUUGUGCAAAUAGUCCCCAUCAGUAUUAUGUGUGCUAAGUGUCCGCAUACUUAAAACGUGUAAGAAGAGUCCUCAUAAGUAUAAUACGGCAGAAGAGUCCCCAUAAGUUGUCAAUGUGUGAAGAGUCCUCAUUUCUGAAGUGUGUUGGUCCGCUGCGCUGGUCCCCAACUCUCCCAGUCAUCCGUGGCUCUGUCACCAGUGAAUCUGUAUUGGCUGGGAUCCUCUAAGGCUUCGGAUGACCUACUACGUCACCAUGGUAACCAAGCACCUCUUCCUCCCUCCUAUUCAUCACCCCUCCACUGUGUGCAUCAUCCCACCAAAAGCUUCUUGGGGAUGCGUUUCAUUCCUGAAGCGACGAUCAAGGCGACACAAACGACUAACUUGCAUGACGUCUCGUCUGUGUCUUCUGUAAAUAGCUUGUAAUCCAGGUGUGUGUCUGUUGUGUGUGUGUGUGUGUGUGUGUGUGUGUGUAUUUAUGUGUUGAUGUCGAGUUUUUGUCCAGGUUCAAAUGCGCAUGAUUUCACGUGCACUCAAAAACGAGCAGAGAGGGUGUAAGGGAGGACGCUGGCUCACGUGCAAAAACGAAAUGUGAACGUGCGGAGCAGAAUAGCUCCUAGUUGCACACCAUUGUUCUCUACUUUCUUGCCAAAGCCAUAGAUCAACGUGGAUACGAACCCGAGCUCACGAUACACGGGCGCUCUCCUGUUUUGCCCAUGGAAGCACGAUGACAAACACAACUUCGGAUUUUUGGCAGGGACAUGUCUGUCUUUCUGUCGUGUGUGUCAUUUUUUGGUCCGAUUUAUACUCUUUUUUUUUAUUAAUUCUUUUAAUAUUUUGAAAUGCUCUACAGAGGUGGACUAGCCAGGGAUAGAAAGCAGAAGUCCUCAACUGUUUUAACUAUCUAUCUUUGUUUGCGAAUGAGUUGUAUCACCUGAAUUUUGGGUGACUAAAGAAACAUGAAAGUUAUUUUACUUUCUUAACCUGAAAUGUCCAAACUCUAGGAUUUGACCUUUCAUCCACAUAACGGACCGAGAAUUCUUUCUUGGUUUGUGCUAGAGUGCCAUCUAGCGGUUGGAUUGAGGGACACUGAUUAAUUUACAUUUCUGCUUCACGUUUCUUGUCAUGUAUAUUUCCGGGUUUUUUGUUCUUUUUUAUAUUUUUGUUUAUCCGAGCACAAAAAUCUGUUUUAUGUUAGUCAGGAAAACUGUGGCAUUAACUUCUCGAUGUCGGUAAUAUUAGUUGUUGAAACAAAGGAAGAUUUAUAUCUUAUUGGAUUUCAUCUACCAAGUAGAGAAGCACUUGAACAAAAAAUAUAUUUGUAGGAAAUAAUAGAUGCCUUUCCCAUGGCAAAAAAAACCUUGACCUGUAGGUUGGACUCCACGACCCCCAUUUGCAUUUCAUUAAGUAUGUUAUAAUGUAUUAUGUGAUUGAUUUCACCCGAGUUUAGCUUUUUGUUUAUUCACAAAUCCAGGAUUAUUAUAGGUACUAGGGCUGUACAGUGGGGGUCAGAUACCGUCUAAUUUUUCAAUCAGCACUAGGUCACUUUGACGUGUCUUAGGUAUUUGUACAAUAGGCUACGUUAUUGUUUUUUUCACUUGCAUUGUUUUUGAAAUGGUGGGAGAAAUGAACGGAUUAUGAAGAGAACUAAAAACAGAAACGAUAGUGUGUGACCGGAGAAUUGUCAUGAUGAAGACUCAUGCUAUGAUACUGUGAAAACGCCCCCCUAGCCUGCUCCUGUCACCCCCAAUCAACUUUGUCCCCGACACUGCAUAUGUUGUGGAAUGUUUAACAUCCGUUCCUGUUCACCUCAAAAUAUCCCUCCGCCGGUCACAUCGCCCACCAGACCAAAUUCCCUUCAGCGUGAGACUCCAUAGUUAAGCCAAUCACAGAUAUGUUGGUUUUUUAAUGUUUAUACAUUGUAUUUAUUGUGGUAGGAAUGAACGUGAAAGUAUCAAGCAUCAGAGGGUUGGCCCCCUUUGAAAUGAAAUGUUGGUCGCCACAGUCCACACUGAU